rnacentral:rRNA from 1 species
GAUUGAACGCUGGCGGCAUGCUUUACACAUGCAAGUCGAACGGCAGCGCGGGCUUCGGCCUGGCGGCGAGUGGCGAACGGGUGAGUAAUACAUCGGAACGCGCCCAGUAGUGGGGGAUAGCUCGGCGAAAGCCGGAUUAAUACCGCAUACGACCUGAGGGUGAAAGCGGGGGAUCUUCGGACCUCGCGCUAUUGGAGCGGCCGAUGGCAGAUUAGCUAGUUGGUGGGGUAAAGGCCUACCAAGGCGACGAUCUGUAGCUGGUCUGAGAGGACGACCAGCCACACUGGGACUGAGACACGGCCCAGACUCCUACGGGAGGCAGCAGUGGGGAAUUUUGGACAAUGGGCGAAAGCCUGAUCCAGCAAUGCCGCGUGUGUGAUGAAGGCCUUCGGGUUGUAAAGCACUUUUGGCGGGAACGAAAAGGACUGUGCCAAUACCACGGUUCGAUGACGGUACCCGCAGAAUAAGCACCGGCUAACUACGUG